ACCGCUGUAGCUCAGCGGAUAGAGCAUUCCAAUGACUAUGGAAAAGGUCGCGAGUUCGAAUCUCGCCAGCGGUA
rnacentral:tRNA from 1 species